rnacentral:lncRNA from 10 species
GGUGGAGUGGCCAGCCUUCCCUGUGUGCUAUGUAAACGUCACACCGUUCCAACCAAUCUGUGAGCCCUGUGUAACUCAGACACCGCCUCCUCAAGCCUGCCUAUGAAAUCCGGUGCACUCCACCACCGGCCAGUCUUUUCCUCUCAGAAGCCCCUCUCUCACGCUAGAAAGAGAGUUAUUUUCCUUUGUCUUUCUUUUGCCUAUUAAACCUCUGCUCCUAAACUCCUCCUCGUGUGUAUCUGAGUCCUAAAUCUUCUUUGCACAAGACAACGAACCCCGGCUACUUACCCCAGAGAACAGUGUCACUUCACAUGAACUUUGAGAGGAAGAGAAGAGACACCAGCGAUACACAUGCAUAGAAGAAAAACAAUGUAAGACACAGUGAGAAAAUGGCCAUUGAAAGCCAAGGAGAGAAGCCUCAGGAGAAAUCAAAACUACCAACACCUUGAUCUUGGACUUCCAGCUUCCAAAACCAGGAGAAAAUUAAUUUCUGUUGUUUAAGCCACCCAGGUAUUUUGUUUAUGGCAGCCCUAGAAGACUAAUAGAAUACAUUAUAUUGAAUUUAUGUGUACCUAUCUUUUUUCAAGUAGACCAUGAAUCAGAAAAAGGUCAAUUCCAUUCCUACUUUGUAUUUCUAGCAUCCAAUACAGCUCCUAUAUACUAGGUCUAUAAUAAAAUUUAGCUUUAUAAAUAACUUCCAAAAUUGUAACUAUAUAUUCUUCAAAACAUUGUCUUUAUACUCUAUUCAUCUAUCUCCAAGAAUUUAAUUGAAUUUCUCUCUAGACCUUCCCUCUACCUGGAGUUUGAGUAACAAAUUUCCACCUACCUUCUGUUCAUUUUAUUGGCUGUCACAAAAUUUAUUCAUAACUCAUUUAGAAUAUUUGUCUCUACAAGCUAGCUUCUCUUAAUUUCUAUCUCCUUAUACCUAAGUUUGGAAUUUUAGCUUCAUUUCACAUAUCUGUCCACUCCAUCCCACAGAUGGUGAUAUUUGCCCAAAAUGUUUCUCCAAUGUGUAUACAUCUUUCUCAGCACGUCUCUCAAAUCAGCUCUCAUGUGUAUAUGUACUACCGUAAUGGCCAUCUACUUACAUUUUGUUCUAUUUCCCCCUUUCCUUAAAAAUCAUUUUAAGAUACCAAUUAUUAGUUUAUCACUUACAUGUUUAGAUAUAUAAGUAAAAUAUCAGGGCCCAUUAAAAAAUACACAUCAAUUCAUCUUAAAGGAAAGAGAACUAAAAAGGGGCUGAGACUAAAAUUUCUAAAGUGUAAUAGAUUAUGGAUGGAGGAAUAUGAAUUUAUAAGCAGGAAAUAACGUAUGAAAAAUGACAAAAUAUGGUAAUGUCAAAGUGAUUACCACCUUUAAGAGUCAUGACUACAAAUCAAUGAGAUGCAGAAUCUGUAUUUAGCCAGUUUUCAGUUAUCUGGAAAUUGGCUAUAUUGUUGAGGAUUAUCGCCUAUACCCUCUUCUGAAUAUCAAUCUAUUUCCAGUUCGUUCAUCAUUUUGUUUUUCUUUUUUUUUUUUACAUUAUUAUUUUCUUUGUUAUUAUUAUUAUACUUUAAGUUCUAGGGUACAUGUGCACAAUGUGCAGGUUUGUUACAUAUGUAUACAUGUGCUAUGUUGGUGUGCUGCACCCAUUAACUCAUUAUUUACAUUAGGUAUAUCUCCUAAUGCUAUCCCUUGUCCCUGCCCCCCACCCCACAACAGGCCCUGAUGUGUGAUGCUCCCCAUCCUGUGUCCAAGUGUUCUCAUUGUUCAGUUCCCAC